CCUACGGGAUGCAGCAGUGGGGAAUAUUGGACAAUGGGCGAAAGCCUGAUCCAGCCAUGCCGCGUGUGUGAAGAAGGCCUUCGGGUUGUAAAGCACUUUCAGUGGGGAAGAAAGCCUUGGGGCUAAUACCCUCGAGGAAGGACAUCACCCACAGAAGAAGCACCGGCUAACUCCGUGCCAGCAGCCGCGGUAAUACGGAGGGUGCGAGCGUUAAUCGGAAUUACUGGGCGUAAAGCGCGCGUAGGCGGUCUGAUAAGCCGGUUGUGAAAGCCCCGGGCUCAACCUGGGAACGGCAUCCGGAACUGUCAGGCUAGAGUGCAGGAGAGGAAGGUAGAAUUCCCGGUGUAGCGGUGAAAUGCGUAGAGAUCGGGAGGAAUACCAGUGGCGAAGGCGGCCUUCUGGACUGACACUGACGCUGAGGUGCGAAAGCGUGGGUAGCAAACAGGAUUAGAUACCCUGUAGUC
rnacentral:rRNA from 1 species